rnacentral:tRNA from 1 species
AAGAUUUUAAGUUAUUCAAACUAUAAGCCUUCAAAGCUUAAUUAAUAAACUAUAUAAUUUUAUAAAUCUUA